CCUACGGGAGGCAGCAGUAGGGAAUCUUCCACAAUGGGCGAAAGCCUGCUGGAGCAACGCCGCGUGGGUGAAGAAGGUCUUCGGAUCGUAACUCCCUGUUGUUAGAGAAGAAAGUGCGUGAGAGUAACUGUUCCCGUUUCGACGGUAUCUAACCAGACAGCCACGGCUCACUACGUGCCAGCAGCCGCGGUAAUACGUAGGUGGCAAGCGUUAUCCGGAUUUAUUGGGAGUAAAGGGUUCGCAGGCGGGCUUUUAAGUCUGAUGUGAAAGCCUUCGGCUUAACCGGAGUAGUGCAUUGGAAACUGGGAGACUUGAGUGCAGAAGAGGAGAGUGGAACUCGAGGUGUAGCGGUGAAAUGCGUAGAUAUAUGGAAGAACACCAGUGGCGAAAGCGGCUCUCUGGUCUGUAACUGACGCUGAGGUUCGAAAGCGUGGGUAGCAAACAGGAUUAGAUACCCCUGUAGUC
rnacentral:rRNA from 1 species